GCCAGCAGCCGCGCCACCGUGGUCUUGCCGGUGCCGGGCGGUCCCCAGAACACCAGCGAGCCCAGCGUGCGGGUCUCCAGCAUCCGCGUCAGCGCGCCAUCGGGGCCGAGGAUGUGAUCCUGCCCGACCNNNNNNNNNNNNGCUUGUCCGGCAGCGGACGCGGUGCGUCCUGCUCCAUGCCGGCUGCGGCGAAGAGGUUCGCUGACUGCUGUGGUCGCUUCGGGCUCAUGACGCCUUUUCUGCUCCCUCUCCCCNNGGGGGGAGGGGGUUGGGGGGGGGGGCCAUAUUGCAAACAAACUUAACAAGAAGCAAGAGCCCCUCACCCGGAUUGCUUCGCAAUCCGACCUCUCCCCGUAAGAACGGGGCGAGGUCAGGAGAAGCGUCUCGAUAAUCAUCAUCCCCCGAGAACGACAUUCAACUGCUGGCCGCCGCGGAUCACCGUGAUGCGCCAGAGCCGCGAGCCUUCGGUGGCGAGUUUGUUGAGAUCCCUGGUCCGGCCGAUCUUCUGACCGUUCACGACGGCGAUCACGUCGCCCUUCUUGAAUCCGACAUUCGUCGCGAUCGCAUCGUCAGGCAAAUCGGUCACGACCACGCCCUCG
rnacentral:misc_RNA from 1 species